GCAGGCAUGGCGGAAUUGGCAUACGCGCCAGACUUAGGAUCUGGUGGGGUAACCCGUCCGAGUUCAAAUCUCGGUGCCUGCACCA
rnacentral:tRNA from 1 species